UGACGAGCGGCGGACGGGUGAGUAACGCGUAGGAAUCUACCCAGUAGCGGGGGAUAGCUUGGGGAAACUCAAAUUAAUACCGCAUACGCCCUACGGGGGAAAGCAGGGGAUCUUCGGACCUUGCACUAUUGGAUGAGCCUGCGUUGGAUUAGCUAGUUGGUGAGGUAAAGGCUCACCAAGGCGACGAUCCAUAGCUGGUCUGAGAGGAUGAUCAGCCACACUGGAACUGAGACACGGUCCAGACUCC
rnacentral:rRNA from 1 species